rnacentral:rRNA from 1 species
AUGAAAGUUAAGGAGCAUUAUAUGGCUGGCAGGAGAGUUGUGCUGAAAUCUGGCAACCUUGCCAGGUUGUGGAUGGAUCCUUGUGGUGAGAAUCAGCCGCUGUGUACUCAAUUCCCUAUUCUGUUCAAUGUGUGCAAUGAUCAAGAGAUCACUGUGGCUAAGUUUAGGGAGAAUGUGGAGGUGGACUUCUUCAGGAGAAGACUAAACCCUGAGCUUCUUGCUCAAUGGAGGAGAGUGCAGGCCUGGGUGAGGGCUCUGCCUCUCUCUAACGACCCUGACCAGGUC